ACCAGCAGCCAUAUGACCCUGCAACUAACAACUGACAACCUACUGAAGCUACGCAGGUGUGAACUUGGUCAGUACUUGGAUGGGAGACCUCCUGGGUAAAACAAAGUUUGCUGCUGGAA
rnacentral:rRNA from 1 species